UCAAAAAACAGAGGUAUCCAAAUACAUCACUUGGAUUGGACUUCAUCCACAAAUUCAUGGUGUUGGUGUUCUUUCUUUCUUCCUUAUGCUGGUGUUCCCAUCAGAUUCUCCAGUCUGGAGCUUGUUUCAGACUGUCUUUUUAGUUAUAGCACUAGGAAGAAUGGAAAAGAUUUUCCCAACUUUGUGGCUGUUGCAGAGGUUUCCACGUUAUGGAAUUAUUUAUGGAUGGAAGACAGAAGUCUUGGGCUGAAAUUUCUGCUUUUCCUGAAGCCGGGUGGUCUAACACUUCCCCCUCACUCCCCUUGUACUGUAUAUUAUUUCAUGGAAAGAGGUAAUAGAUUACAAGUCUUAAGGUGUUCAAAUGCAAAGUAAAUAAAUUGUAACUUCUGUUUUUCAUUUCCUAUUCAUUUACCUUUUAUUCAGGGUGCCUGACUUGUUUGGUCCUUCCCAUGUCUUGGUAUGACUUACUGUGCUCCAUUGUAAACUGUUGGGGUGAUUCACAAGCACCUCAGAUGGCUUUUAGUGAGGACAGUGUAGGAGGCUGGGAAUCUGGGUGGCUGAACUUCAUCAGCUCCUUCAAGCUAAGAUGUCUCUGCACAUUAGUCAGAACAUUUUCUUUCCAUUAACAGGAAAGGCAUGGAGCCCUGUAUCAAUGUCUCCUAUUCAUGUCUUAGAGACAGAAAUUAAAGUUGGGUUUUGCAUUACAACUAAGCCAAUCUCUUAGCAAGUAGCUGCUAAGAGCAGUGUCUCUCUGCCUUUUGUAACCUCUGGCUGCAUGUUCCUGCUGCUUCCUUUGUCUCUGUGUAGUGAUCAUGCAGUUGUAGAGCAAGUUGGUUCAGCUGGAUGAUCUGAUGCAAACCUAACACUGCAAGACUUCUUCAGGAUCAGCUGCCUGAAAUGACUUUCUCUGAGCACAGUCACUAAACCCAGUGCAAGGGAAGCCAGGAGUGAGGAACAGGUAGAACUGCUCCUGCUGCCCUAAGAUCAGCUGAGUUGUGUUGUGAAAUCACACCAUCGCUUUUCCAAGCUGAUGAUUUUGUUAGUCUCAAGAGCCUUUUUAACUUGAUUCAUUUUAUGGGUAUACGGAGGUUUAAAAAAACAAAAAACAAACAAAACCUCCUCUCUGAGGUGUGUUCCUUGAGUGCUUAUCGCUUUGAUUUAUUCGGGUAUUCAUGAGUCAUUCAU
rnacentral:lncRNA from 1 species